GACGAACGCUGGCGGCGUGCUUAACACAUGCAAGUCGAACGGAAAGGCCCUGCUUGCUGGGUACUCGAGUGGCGAACGGGUGAGUAACACGUGGGCGAUCUGCCCUGCACUUCGGGAUAAGCCUGGGAAACUGGGUCUAAUACCGGAUAGGAGCCAUUUUUAGUGUGAUGGUUGGAAAGUUUUUUCGGUGUCGGAUGAGCUUGCGGCCUAUCAGCUUGUUGGUGGGGUAAUGGCCUACCAAGGCGGCGACGGGUAGCCGGCCUGAGAGGGUGGACGGCCACAUUGGGACUGAGAUGCGGCCCAGACUCCUACGAGAGGCAGCAGUGGGGAAUAUUGCACAAUGGGCGCAAGCCUGAUGCAGCGACGCCGCGUGGGGGAUGACGGCCUUCGGGUUGUAAACUCCUUUCGCGAGGGACGAAGCUUUUUGUGACGGUACCUAGAUAAGAAGCACCGGCUAACUACGUG
rnacentral:rRNA from 1 species